UCCGGUUUGGCACCGGCAGUCCCCCUAGAGUCCCCGGCUUGGCCUUGUUGAGGGGCCGCUCCGCUGGCAACUAGGGGCGGGGGUUGCGCUCGUUGCGGGACUUAACCCAACAUCUCACGACACGAGCUGACGACAGCCAUGCAGCACCUGUGCGCGGGCUCCGAAGAGGGGCCGGCGUCUCUGCCGGCUUUCCCGCGCAUGUCAAGCCCAGGUAAGGUUCUUCGCGUUGCGUCGAAUUAAACCACAUGCUCCACCGCUUGUGCGGGCCCCCGUCAAUUCCUUUGAGUUUCAGCCUUGCGGCCGUACUCCCCAGGCGGGGCACUUAAUGCGUUAGCGCCGGCACCCGGGGGGUCGCUCCCCCAGGCACCUAGUGCCCAUCGUUUACGGCGUGGACUAC
rnacentral:misc_RNA from 1 species